rnacentral:rRNA from 1 species
AGAGUUUGAUCCUGGCUCAGGAUGAACGCUAGCUACAGGCCUAACACAUGCAAGUCGAGGGGCAUCGGGCGUCGGACUUGUCCGACGUGCCGGCGACCGGCGAAUGGGUGAGUAACGCGUAUCCAACCUGCCCGCCAGCCAGGGACAGCCUCCCGAAAGGGAGAUUAAUACCUGACGUUGUGACGAUAGGGCAUCCUGUUGUCACGGAAGAUUUAUCGUUGGUGGAUGGGGAUGCGUCCGAUUAGCUAGUUGGUACGGUAACGGCGUACCAAGGCUACGAUCGGUAGGGGUUCUGAGAGGAAGGUCCCCCACAUUGGAACUGAGACACGGUCCAAACUCCUACGGGAGGCAGCAGUGAGGAAUAUUGGUCAAUGGGCGGAAGCCUGAACCAGCCAAGUAGCGUGAGGGAAGACUGCCCUAUGGGUUGUAAACCUCUUUUGUUUGGGAGCAAAGUGCGCCACGUGUGGUGUAUUGCGAGUACCAUUCGAAUAUGCAUCGGCUAAUUCCGUGCCAGCAGCCGCGGUAAUACGGAAGAUGCGAGCGUUAUCCGGAUUUAUUGGGUUUAAAGGGAGCGUAGGCGGAGCGUCAAGUCAGCUGUGAAAUGUCGCGGCUCAACCGUGGAGCUGCAGUUGAAACUGGCGUUCUUGAGUAUACAUAAGGAUGGUGGAAUUCGUGGUGUAGCGGUGAAAUGCUUAGAUAUCACGAAGAACUCCGAUUGCGAAGGCAGCCAUCUGGGGUAUUACUGACGCUGAGGCUCGAAAGUGCGGGUAUCAAACAGGAUUAGAUACCCUAGUAGUCCACGCCCUAAACGAUGAGUACUAGAUGUUGGAAUUUUCAGUGUCACAGCUAACGCAAUAAGUACUCCGCCUGAGGAGUAUGCACGCAAGUGUAAAACUUAAAGGAAUUGACGGGGCCCCGCACAAGCGGUGGAGUAUGUGGUUUAAUUCGACGCAACGCGAAGAACCUUACCAGGCCUUGACAUCCCCUGCAAAACUAUAGAGAUAUAGCAGAGGUUAUCAGGGUGACAGGUGGUGCAUGGUUGUCGUCAGCUCGUGUCGUGAGAUGUUGGGUUAAGUCCCGCAACGAGCGCAACCCUUGUCUUUAGUUACCAUCAUUAAGUUGGGGACUCUAGAGAGACUGCCGGUGACAAACCGGAGGAAGGUGGGGAUGACGUCAAAUCAUCAUGCCCUUUAUGGCCUGGGCUACACACGUACUACAAUGGCGUAUACAGCAAGAUGCAAUACCGUAAGGUGGAGCAAAACUUAUAAAAUACGUCUCAGUUCGGAUUGAGGUCUGCAACUCGACCUCAUGAAGUUGGAAUCGCUAGUAAUCGCGAAUCAGCAUGUCGCGGUGAAUACGUUCUCGGGGCUUGUACUCACCGCCCGUCAAG